rnacentral:misc_RNA from 1 species
GAGAUGGUGGGCACAUCAAGAACAAAUUACAGAAUUUCAAUGAAGAAAUAUGUAAACAAAUUCCAUUUGAAUCUUGGAUGACUCAAAUCAAACAUGCAAACAACUAGAAACUUUGUGAGAUUUGCAUAAGCAACAAUGAUUAUUUAAGUAACAGCAAGCCCUUUGCAUUGCUUGAAUAGCAAAACAAAAUUCAAUCCUAGAAGAGGUGACGACGGCUAUUGAUGCCAUCGAACGAGCUUCACCUUGCACAGUCUUAGCCACUAAAGGAGGAAAAUAUGCAAUGUGUAAAGGAGAAUUUGUAGAAUUGAAAUCAGCCAACAAUUGCCCAGCCAUCGCUCCCUUUCCUCUCCACCUUCACCACCACCUACCACCACCUGAAGAAUACCUCACAAUCACUUCUAAUCCAAUAACCCUCCUCUUGUCUCAUUGCCAACACCACCCACCAACAUCUCAUCUCCAACCCUAAGUCUUCUUUUUUUCUUUGCCUCAUUGAUCCUAGAAAAAUGGUUCAAAUCAAUCAUACACUUCUGAACCUUGUGACCUAAUCCUCUAUCCUCAUUAUCUUUGGCUCUUGUGACACUCACUACCAUGACUCUCAUCAUCAGUCCUCAGUCCUCUGAGCCAUCUUAUGAUAGGAUUUUAAGAGAAGAGAAUCAAUAUAAUGUAGCCCAAAGUAAAAUUGAAUAAGCAAAACUUGGUUGUUCUAUAGCUCCACCAUUCAAACACAGGUGUGGAUAAAAUUGCUGGAAUUUUUGAAAAUAUAUGAGCAAAGUUUUAGGCCAGUUACGCCAGCCAAGGAC